rnacentral:rRNA from 1 species
UAGCCUUGACAUAUUUUAGAACUCCGUAGAGAUACAGAGGUGCCUUCGGGAGCUAAUUUACAGGUGCUGCACGGCUGUCGUCAGCUCGUGUCGUGAGAUGUUGGGUUAAGUCCCGCAACGAGCGCAACCCUCGUCACUAGUUACUAACGGUUCGGCCGAGGACUCUAGUGAGACUGCCUUCGUAAGGAGGAGGAAGGUGAGGACGACGUCAAGUCAUCAUGGCCCUUACGGCUAGGGCAACACACGUGCUACAAUGGACAGGACAGUGAGACGCGAUACCGUGAGGUGGAGCAAAUCUAUAAACCUGGUCUCAGUUCGGAUUGUAGUCUGCAACUCGACUACAUGAAGCUGGAAUCACUAGUAAUCGUAGAUCAGCUAUGCUACGGUGAAUACGUUCCCGGGUCU